rnacentral:precursor_RNA from 1 species
ACCUGAAAUAAGCAAGAUUACCCGCUGAACUU